rnacentral:rRNA from 1 species
UACAGAGGGGGCAAGCGUUGUUCGGAAUUACUGGGCGUAAAGGGCGCGUAGGUGGCCUUCUAAGUUGAACGUGAAAUCCCUGGGCUCAACCCAGGAACUGCGUCCAAGACUGGGAGGCUUGAAUCCGGGAGAGGGAUGCGGAAUUCCAGGUGUAGCGGUGAAAUGCGCAGAUAUCAGGAGGAACACCAAUGGCGAAGGCAGCACUCUGGGACGUGACUGACGCUGAGACGCGAAAGCGUGGGGAGCAAACAGG